rnacentral:rRNA from 1 species
GAAGCAACGGGAAGAACCUUACCAGGUCUUGACAUCCUCUGACAAUCCUAGAGAUAGGACGUGCCCUUCGGGGGCAGACCGACAGGUGGUGCAUGGUUGUCGUCAGCUCGUGUCGUGAGAUGUUGGGUUAAGUCCCGCAACGAGCGCAACCCUUGAUCUUAGUUGCCAGCAUUCAGUUGGGCACUCUAAGGUGACUGCCGGUGACAAACCGGAGGAAGGUGGGGAUGACGUCAAAUCAUCAUGCCCCUUAUGACCUGGGCUACACACGUGCUACAAUGGACAGAACAAAGGGCAGCGAAACCGCGAGGUUAAGCCAAUCCCACAAAUCUGUUCUCAGUUCGGAUCGCAGUCUGCAACUCGACUGCGUGAAGCUGGAAUCGCUAGUAAUCGCGGAUCAGCAUGCCGCGGUGAAUACGUUCCCGGGCCUUGUACACACCGCCCGUCACACCACGAGAGUUUGUAACACCCGAAGUCGGUGAGGUAACCUUUUAGGAGCCAGCCGCCGAAGGUGGGACAGAUGAUUGGGGUGAAGUCGAACAAGGAGCGGGGUUCUAGGAGAAAUG